rnacentral:rRNA from 1 species
AUGCCUAAGGGCAUAUCGGUUGAAGUAGAUUCUUCUUUUCUCUCAAAAAACCCCUUCCCAAACUAUACAAGCUUCUUCCAAAGCAUAUGGCCUUCUAGAUGUAUAUGACGAUCUCUAGACAGAUGGAUCUUAUAUGAAUCAUAUGAUGAACUACCACAUGAGUGGAUAUAUAGGAGAGGAAUCCAAAUCUGUCGAAUCACUCAUGUUAUGAUCUUCUACAUCCUAGGUCUCUGCGUUCUCCGACCGGGCCGCUGCGCCUGGUAA